UUUUUUUGAGCGUGUGAGUGGAAGACACAACAUUCUCUGGUUAAGGAAUACUCCCUCCGUUUAUGUGAGUAUAAGUCACCUUAUGAAAAUCAGGUUUUCCCAAAACCUUUAGGCGCAGAGCAUUAACUUCCUGCUCGAUCCCCUCCCAGCCUCGUUAGCCAGCGUUCUCUUUCUCUGCUGCCGCGUUCUACCUUUCCAUUUUUCCUCUUCUCAAGUGUGGAACGAUCUGCAUGCCGUCCUUGAUGCACCAGAACGACCACUGCAUGCAUCACGGCAGGGCGUUGAUUGGGCAUGCAUGAGAAUUUGGUUCUGCUCGCAAGAUGGAUGAUACCUGAACGAUGAAGUGAACAGGCAUGCUAGCACGGGAGACCUAUUUCCGCUAUACAAUACUGGAGUACUCAUGUUCCUACUACUAGUAGUAGUAGUAGUACAACUAUGGUACUCCCUCCGUCUAGGUGUGUAAGUCAUCUUACGAAAACCAAAUAAUCCCAAAACACUUAGGCGCGGUGCAUUAAUUUCUAUCUCAUUUCUUGUUUCUUGACAUAUCAACCAAUAAGAGAUGUGGGGUGUGCAAGCUUUUAAUGACUUGAGACUACCAAACACAACAUGCAGUGGUUAGUUCAUUGCAUGCAAUGCUAUUAAUUAGCAAAUAAACAUUAAGGUCUCUCGUUUUCCCCUCCUCCUUGGUCACGGCGCACAACCUAACAUGACUUACUCACCUAGACGGAGGGAGUACACUUGAUGGUCAAAAUACUAUUCAUCCGGUCCUCACAGUGAAGUGACAACACCCUGCGCCUGACACUAGUCCAGGCGGCGUGUUCGGGUUACCAAAGUCAGCCUCACCCUGUGCACUGUGCAGUCUGUCACCGCCGCUGUACAGCACAUUGGCGCCUCGCCUCAUCUCCCUCUCCGCUCCCAUAGCACCACUCCAUCUCCAUCUCCUUCUCCGUCUCCGUCUCCGUCUCCAUCUCACUGUGCCCCCGUGUACCGUCGCCUCACUCGCCUCCCCCAGUACCACUAUUCCCUUGCUAGCCGCUCCAGCACCGACAUCCUUCUCCCCCCGUAAAUCAAGCCCCCUUCCAAACUCCACCAUGGCCGAACACGAACCGCGCAGCAUCCAUAUGAGCUGCGAUUGGAGCAAUCUCCCCAGUGACAUCCUCGACCUCUGUUGUUCGUGUAUGGAUAUGUUGAGCGCCCUGCGGCUGGCUGCAUGCUCGAGGGACAUGCACACGGCCAUCGUCGAAGCGAGGCCUAAGCUUUUCAAGACACCCUGCUUGCUGCUAUCUGGUCUUGCGAGAUUGGCUCACCAUGAUACGGAGGCGUGCAUGAUGCCCCUCGACUUCAAUCCGAUCUCCAUUAGCCGAAACUUCUAUGCAGGUAUGUAGUGGGUCGCCGUACAUCAUUUCCCUCGACAUCGAUCCGAUCACCAUCGCCCGAAACUUCUUGGCAGGUAUGUACUGGGUCGGCAUGAACUCCCACUGGAUGGCUCCCUUCAGAGAAGACGGUAAAAAGUUGGUGCUCGUGAACUUCCAGACCUCCCAUGAGAUUAUCCUUCCUCCGUUGGAUUAUAUAGAGUAUUACCAUCGCGGUCCAAGUCAUCUAGAUUACUAUGUCAGUUGGACGGACCUUGUUUUGCAGAAGAUUGUAAUCUGCCAAGUGCCCACAUGACAUGCGAAUUACGUAGACUUCAAGCUAAUUGCCUUGUUUGACCGCAGACUCACCUAUCUUUACGCCGGUGCCUUCUUUAGCUGGAGACAACUCGGCUCGCAGUGGAUCAUCGUCAAAGCUGAUACACACUUCUGUGAUGCUAUUGAACACAAUGGCAUCAUCUACGCGAUCGACAAAGCAGAUGGCACCACGUAUUGCUGGGACGGCGCGUGUAAGUUGUUUCCGUCUCAUGUUAAUGAUGACGCCAUGACACUGUUUGAACUUUUUGUGAUGAUUGGCAUAUCCCUGUUUGAGCAGAAUUUGAGUAGAACUAUGGCAAUGUAUUAGAGACACCGUAAAUCAGCUAUAUCUGGAAUGAGUUAAUUCAUGCGAUUGUGACCAUGUCAUUACAGCCAAUUUGUACCCUGAAUAAUCAAACGGUUAGGAAUAUAUGGAUAUUAUCCUUAUUUUACAGUAAUCUAUAUACUACUACUAAAUAUGAGUGUGUAUCAAUGGCCAUGUUAGUUUCCUCAUUUUCAUGACGUAGAAACAUGCACCACACUGUUGGUUUCAUCUAACCAUACAUUAGGGAAGUAAAUGUGCAUAUGGAGAACUCUAUAUUUGGAAGUAGUGAAAUCCUGCAAUGCUUACCAUGUGUACAUACCUAUAUUCGCCCUUCAGCAAUCAAUGGCUAGAAUAAUAUCCUCACAAAAAUUUUGCCCACAGAACACGAGUAUAUAACAAUGCAUGGUCUGUUAGUUACCUUGAAGAAUUUGUUUGUGAGGACAGAACAUGAUUACUCCCUCCGUUCCCAAAUAUUUGUCUUUCUAGAGAUUUUAACAAGUGACUGCAUACGGAGCAAAAUGAGUGAAUCUACACUCUAAAAUAUGUCUACAUACAUCCGUAUGUUGUGUCUAUUUGAAAUGCCUAGAAAGACCAAUAUUUGGCAACGGAGGGAGUACAUAACAUGCAUGACAUGGUAGUUUCCUGUGAAGAAUCGAUUGCGAGAUAACAUGAGUAUAACCAUGCAUGGCACUUCUAUAUUUUCGAACCCAGUAUACAUUUCCCUGUAUUUUCCUACCAGUUCCAACAGGGACAUAUCAAUCCUGUUUCUUGCAUUAUCCUACUCAUACUCUGAACAAUGCUGAUCUUACAUUAACAAUGCAUGUCCUUUUUGAUAUGAUGCAGUGUCCCUACAGUUACUGCCCUUUGUAAUCACACCACCUUUGCCAAAAACAGGGAAGCACAAUUGGUUCCUCGCUCGAUCAGACGACGGCAAAAGACUGAUGAUCAUUCGGACACAUGAGCCGAAAAAGUUAUAUUGCAAAAACCCCACUGUAUACAAGCACCGUGUAAUACAUGAGUAUCCGGACAGUGGCUGUUACAUCUAUGAGCAGGAUACCAGCUUGUUGGGGCCUUUAGGAUUUUUUAGUUGGAGGCGGGUAAACAACCUUGGUUCACACUCUCUGUUUCUCGGACUCAAUUAUCCGAUUAACCAGGAGAUCACCGUUGGCAAGGACCUUGAUGGCAAAGAGGCUCUGUUUGCUAUGGAAAACUGUGUCUACACGGCGAGCCCUAGGAGUUCGGGAGCAAACUCCCCUGAUUGUCAACGAUACAGCCUGCAGCCAAAAGAAGGUGAGAAUGACAAAGGCAUCCGGAUUAACUUUGAUCCUUGGAUUUCUCAAUUACGACAGGCAGUGAUGUGGUUCAAUCCUUCAGGUUGAUAGGUAAUUGGGCUGUUGCAUCGAAAGGGUGGAGUACUUGUGUCUCCGGAUCACUGGUCGCUGAAGCGGGGCUGCAAAUUAUGAUGGUGUUGGAUCAUCUCUUCGAAUGACUUUGUUGUCUUUGCUGCUGGUUUUGGAUGGGUAGUUCUUUCUUUUGUUAUGCAUAUUCCUUGUCAUUUGGUCAUCCUCGUCUAUGUCACUCUUACGAUGUAAUAGUUGCUUCUGUUUAGAAUGUCAUUCUCGUCUAGAUCACGAGAGUCUGAGCGCUGCAGAUGGGUGCGUUUUGGUGGUGUAGCAAGACUUCUUAUGAACUAUCAUGUCUUGCUGUUUAUGUCAGUAGUAGUCACUAGUCAGUGUUUGAAUGUUGUAUAUAUUGUUGUUUCGAACUAUUUAUUGUCUCGAACUACUGGUGGGCUAAAUGAGGGCAUCACCAUUCUCCAGUGUUCAGAGUAUAUCUCCUGUUUUCAAGUUAUAUAAUUCGAGCUCAGUGUCUUUUCGAUGAUGUACACUUGUUUGGGCCAGUGAGGUGUCGUUGAAUAUGGGCCGAGUAGUAACGCAAUGCCAAACAGGUCAAUUAUGACUCUCAGGCCGGGCUCUCAAAAGAUCCUGAAAAAAAAGGCCGGGCUCUCCAAAAAAGAAAGAGUAAGGACUCUUAGGCCGACAUCUGGGCGCCACCGGUGUUUUCGUGCGCUUGCGCGCCGAGAGCAUAUUGGCGCGUGCUCGAAAUUCAUGCUACCUUUUCAUCCCCAGUCUCCCGCCCCUCCCCCACCUCUGGAAUCUCGAUUCCUACUCCUGUUCCCCCAAAUCCCCCUCCUGUACUCCCUGUACUCAAGCGCACUAUCAUGUCGCCGGUCAAUGCGGAUCUCCGAGCCGGAGAUCCUGAGGUCCGUCCUGCCUUCGGUCACUGCGUGCUGUCGCUCAACAGUGGCAUGGCGGCGCUUGACGACCAGUUUGCCGGCAAAGUGCUGAUGGUAACCAUCAACGGCGACCGGCCUCCCGUCUCACCGGAUGAUCUUGUCAAAGCUCUUGGCAUUGCGCGCGGCAUCCAAAUAAGUGACUUGCUCGUCGAAGUCUGUCCGCCACCAGCUGAUUUCUUUGUCAGGUUCCGGACAACUUUCGACUGCAGUCGUGUGUUCGAAUCUUCUCGGCGUUUGUUCUGUGAUGGCGCGCUGGUGAGCUUUGAUCGCUGGCACCCAGGAUGGGGCUCGGUGCCCUCUGAGCUUGAGUUUUUAACAAAGCUUACCUUCCACGGCAUGCCUCGACGUGCUUGGAACAGCGAGUCCAUGAACGAGCUUAUCAACGACCUUGGAGGUGAGCUCGUAAGUAUGUUUGUUCCUCCAGACAGCUGGGGUCUGACAGUUAUGGCAUGGAUGAAGAAGUCGUCCACCAUACCGAAGGUGAUUGGUGUUGAGAUACCGGUGCAGGAACCGGGGUUGUACUAUUCGUCGCCACCAAGGCUGCCGCGGACCACGUUAGGGAUGUACCUGUAUCGAGUGUUCGUGCAUGUCGAAGAAGUGGUCAAUCCAUCAAUCGAAGUCCUACCGCCGCCGCUGGUGCCAGGGUCCGUCGACGAUGUCCAUUACAGGAGUCAACGUCAGACUUUCCCCGUGUUGCUCGGAACAAUGGAUGGCACAGGGCCUACUCCAUCGCGCGGCGGAGGCCACUGCUUCUUUGGGAGAAGAGGCAGGGCUGGCUGCCUGGAUGUGCUCUAAUUUGAGGUAACAACUGAAUCUUGUCAGAUACUAGUCAAAUCCGAGCUAUGGGUGUGAAGCACUGAUAUGCCAGUACAUUUGAUUGUGACCUGUUCUAAUUUUGUACCUGAACUUUUUUUAGAAAGGGCUGUACGUCAACUUAAUGUGCUAGCAGAACUUAUUGUGUUGUCUGUCUAUUUUCUUUGCACACCAUUCAAGAUAUUUCCCCGUCAUUGAUAAAGACGAUGAACCGUUAUGUACGACUUCGUUGGUUUCAACAUAGCCCUUCCCGUAGCGAUCCACUGCUUCCAUCCUGAUUGUGCGGCCUGCGUGAAAUUUUUGUAUGCAAGUUCAGUGUGCUAUGAUGUUCUAUAUGAUUGGGUCAACUAUAUAAGUUUUUACUGAGCAUCAGCAAUGCAUAUGGCUGAAAGAUGUAUUUACGAGCAUCGACCGAUGGGUCUCUCUCUCUAUCUCUCUCUCUCUCACACACACACACGCACAUACACGUGCACACGCACAAGUGGGACCCGUUGAAUUAUUUAUUUGCUCGUGACAGCUUUUAAUUAGGUUCCACUGUAAUCCAACUUUUUUCUUAAGUUAUUAAUUGAGCUCAGUGACUUCAAAAAGUUGUACAGAAGCCUUGUUUGGGCCUUUCCGGCGUCGCUGAAUGUGGGCUGAGUAACCAUGUUAGGUUGUACUGUACUACAAAGGCCUUUUUUUCAACAUCAACAAUGCAACUGGGCCGACAGUUGUACACAAUAUCCGGGUCAACUUGUUAUUCUCCGCCCCGCUGGGCUGCAAACUUUCCUAGGAGGUAUGCAUUAGGCUUAACAAGAAAAUGGACAUUAAGAAAUAAUAAAUGGGAUGUAAUUAUAAUAACUGGACAGUUACUAUGCACCAAACACGUAAUUAGUUUUAAAAAUAUAUUAUUUUUGGAAUUUGAAAAUUUUAAUUUCAUUACUUGUUGCGCGCGCAAUAUUUCGUUGGAUUUUAACGUAAUACAACUUUAUUUUGAAAUUAUAUUUAACCCGACUAGAAAUUUCAGAUAAAAAAAUUCGGAUCCCAUCAAAAUGUUGGAAUUUUUUUUGAAUUCUGUUUUGAGCGGUUGUUUGAAAUUAUUAAUCAUUGUCCUAGCUAGAAGUUGGGCUGUACUUUUAACAAACUGUAAAUGGGAUGUAGUAAAUUCCAUUAGAAUUAAAAAAAUGGGCUGUCCAUUCUUACAAAUCACAAAUGGGCUAUAUGUUCUCUGCCAAAUCCGAGCUGUGGGCCUACAAAGUUGACGCGUACCAAGGGCUUUGUCAACUUAGUCAAUAUAAACGAUUCUAGCUGCAGUGAUCGUACGAUGUCCAUCCAACGGCCAUAGUGCUUCUUCAACCUCUGGUCUUCUUGCUCCAGCCGCCCAAAGCAGCUCCGGUCGUGUCGCGUGCUCCUGCCUCCCAUGGCCGGCUGUGAUGCCGCGGAGGCCUCACCGCCCCGUACUACUCCCAUCGCUGGCCAGCCAUCCCUCUACUCACCCACACCCCCUGUUAUUCUGCGGCGACGGCAGCCUCACACCGCAUCCGAACCAGUGAACCCUCGUACUCCUCUCCGCGCGGGCUUCCACUGCUGCGUCUUCCCCGGCUCCAUGUCGUCCCCUUCCUAGGCCUCGCCGUCGUCCAGACCACCGCCCUGGUCCUCUCGGCGCGGCGUGGUCAACGUGGUCAACGACCGACUUCCAUCGGAAGAGUACUGUACGUGGAGAGGCUGACAGCUGGGUCCAGGCGGCCGCAAGCAAGUGCCUCCUUAUUACGCGCAAAAUAAUUAUUCCUCCGCCUGACAGCAGGGACCCACGGGACGGGCCACCUUAUUUCACGAAAAAAAUGUUUCCCCCCUGACUGCUAGGACCCACCGGAUGGGCCAGCGUAUUUCGCGAAAAAAACGUUCCCCCCCUGUCAGCUCGGACCCACCGGAAGUGCCUCCUUAUUACGCACAAAAAAUUGAAUACUCCCCCUGCUAGCUGGGACCCACCAUGGUGGGAGGCUGACUUGUGGGCCUACUAAGUUGACUGGGACGGGGGCCUUUGUCAUCUUUAGUCAAUAUGAACGAUUCUAGCUCCAGUGACCGUACGAUGUCCAUCCAACGGCCGUAGUGCUUCUUCAACCUCUGGUCUUCUUCCUCCAGCCGCCCAAAGCAGCGCCGGUUGUGCCGCAUGCUCCUGCCUCCCGUGGCCGGCUGUGCUGCCGCGGAGGCCUCACCGCCCCCUACUAUUCCCACCGCUGGCCAGGCCCUGCGGCGACGACAGCCUCACACCGCAGCCGAACCAGUGAACCCUCGUACUCCUCUCCGCGCGGGCUUCCACUGUCGCGUCUUCCCCGACUCCCCGUCAUCCCCUUCCUAGGCCUCGCCGUCGUCCACCGCCCCGGUGCUCUCGGUGCGGCCUGGUCAACGUGGUCAAGGAACGACUUCCAUCGGACAUGGACUGUACGUGGAGAGGCUGACAGCUGGGUCCACGGCCGCAGCAAGGAAGUGCCUCCUUAUUACGCGGAAAAUAAUGAUUCCUCCACCUGACAGCUGGGACCCACCGGACAGGCCACUGUAUUUCCUGAAAAAAACGUUUUUCCCUGACUGCUGGGACCCACCAGCUACAUCUUCACACGCAAGGAAGUGCGUCCGGGCAAAAAAACGAUUCGCCCCCCUGACUGCUGGGACCCACGAGCUACAUCUUCGCAGGCAAGGAAGUGCAUGACAGUCGGGACCCACCUGGUCGAAGCGUAUGUAACGUUGUCAUUCUGGUUGCGAACGUGUACGUACAUAUAUACUGGCGGAUGUAGAGGCGCGCACGUGUCGUAGUAGAGGCGCGCACGUAGCAUGUACACGUACGUACAACAGCCAAGGUCCAAGAAAGAAAAUACGGCCACGUAUGUGUACAUACGGGUGGGGUCUCGAACGCCUACUCGUGCAUGCGUACGACCAGGGCUCGUGUACAUGGCUGGGUCGGAACGGAGAAACAGCGUCGUCGUCGUGUUCAUGGGGAGGCAACGGAAUGCGUCGUGUUCUUGGGGAGGCAACGGAAUGCGUCGUGUUCAUCGGGAGGCAACGGAACGCGUGGGAGCCAACCGGCUAAGUCGGAACGGAAUGUGUGGUCGUGUUCAUCGGGAGGGCUUUGACGGAACAGGCGGUGGAAACGAGGCCUGGCGUACCGCACAACGGAGGAAACAGACCUCCUACAUAAGGAACGGGGUCCUGUUGAUCGGGAGGGGUCUGGCGUACCGCAAAACGGAGGAAACUGACCUCCUACAGUCGAAACGGGGGUCCUGUUGAUCGGGAGGGGUGUGGCGUACCGCAAAACGGACGAAACGGACCUCCUACGGUCGAAACUGGGGUCCUGUUCAUCGGGAGGGGUGUGGCGUACCGCAAAACGGGACUCCACGGGAUACUGUUCAUCUCCACCGUCGACCUCCUCCAGCCUCCACGGGCUACCGUCGACCUACUCCAGCCUCCACGGGCUCCUGUUCAUCCAGCCUCCACCGCGCUCUACUCUGCCGGCUACUGUUCAACCACCCCUNNNNNNNNNNNNNNNNNNNNNNNNNNNNNNNNNNNNNNNNNNNNNNNNNNNNNNNNNNNNNNNNNNNNNNNNNNNNNNNNNNNNNNNNNNNNNNNNNNNNNNNNNNNNNNNNNNNNNNNNNNNNNNNNNNNNNNNNNNNNNNNNNNNNNNNNNNNNNNNNNNNNNNNNNNNNNNNNNNNNNNNNNNNNNNNNNNNNNNNNNNNNNNNNNNNNNNNNNNNNNNNNNNNNNNNNNNNNNNNNNNNNNNNNNNNNNNNNNNNNNNNNNNNNNNNNNNNNNNNNNNNNNNNNNNNNNNNNNNNNNNNNNNNNNNNNNNNNNNNNNNNNNNNNNNCAAUGCUCAGUGUUCAUCCAAUCGAUCAACUUCAGUUAGCAGCAGUAGCAAAGGAAUCGCUCGAUCGGGUUCAGUUAACAGCCAUCGAUCGAUCGCUCGGGUUCAGUAACGCGUAGCCUGCAGUGCAAUCGCUCAGGUUCAGUUAGAUCCCAACGCCUCGCUCGGGUUCAGUUAGAGCCAAUGCCUCGCACACACGCGCGUACGUGUACGAGAGAAACGCGCAUCGCUUGGCCCCCGACCUCCCAUCGUAACCGGGAACUCCCCGAAAUUUUCCUCCCCCUCGCUUCUACCACGGUUUUUUCCGUCAUGGACGGCCCAAAGAAUGUCAUGCAGCUGCGUCUCCGGCCCGCCCAGGACGAAAAUCCCAUUUUCUGUCAUGAUUUUUUGUCAUAGAAGUAGGAGCCCACCACAUCUAUGAUGAUACCGGGUUUUGUCACAGUUAUCGUCAUAGAAGUGUCAUAUGUAUGACAUAAUUUUUUUUCGUUCGGCCCAAAAUGUCACGGAUGUGUCUUUUUUUUGUAGUGUAGAAACCAGCGAGUCCAAGAAAACUCCUCACUUGUGUGACCGUUUAGGGCUGCGGCCAACUCUCAAUAGCUUCAAUCUUGGCUUUAUCAACUUCAAUUCCCUGUGGAGUAAGAACAUAGCCAAGAAAAGAUACUCGGUCGGUGCAAAAGGUGCACUUCCCAAGGUUACCAAACAAACGUGCAUCACGUAGAGCAAUAAAAACAGCACGUAAAUGUUCCAAAUGUUUUUCCAGAGAUUUGCUAUAAAUCAGUAUAUCAUCAAAAUAGACUACCACAAAUCGUCCAAUGAAAGCACGUAAAACUUCGUUCAUUAGUCUCACGAAAGUACUAGGUGCAUUAGUUAACCCAAAAGGCAUGACUAACCACUCAUAUAAACCAAACUUACUUUUAAAAGCUGUUUUCCAUUCAUCUCCCAAUUUCAUACGAAUUUGAUUGUAUCCACUACGCAAAUCAACUUUGGAGAAUAUUGUAGAUCCACUCAAUUCAUCAAGCAUAUCAUCUAGCCUAGGAAUAGGAUGACGAUAACGAAUAGUAAUAUUAUUAAUGCCUCUACAAUCAACACACAUACGCGACGUACCAUCCUCUUUCGGCACUAGAAUAAUAGGAACAACACAAGGACUAAGGGAUUCGCGAAUAUAACCUUUGUCGAGCAGCUCCUGUACUUGACGCAUAAUCUCCUUCGUCUCCUCUGGAUUGGGACGGUAUGGUGCACGGUUGGGUAGCGAUGCAUCGGGAAUUAAGUCAAUUUGAUGCUCAAUCCCUCGAAUAGGUGGUAAUCCCGGUGGCACGUCUUGUGGGAAGACGUCAGCGAACUCCUGCAAAAUGUUAGUGACUGCAGGGGGCAAAGAGGAAGGCACGUCCUCGAAUGAAAAUAAUGCAUCUUUGCACACAAAAGCAUAGCAAACAGAUUUGCUAAAAACUAGCUCAUCAAUAUCAGAUUUGGUGGCAAGUAAACAUGCACUUUUUAAUUUAAUUUCAGAAGCAACACUAGAUGGUUUAUUAUUAGGCUUCAUUUGUUGCUCAAAUUCUUUUGCCACAAUCGUAUUUUCACUCUUAUUUUUCUCCUGUUUUGCUUUAUUAGCUCUAUGAAUAUCAUCUUUCAAAAUGGAAUCAGGAGUCAUAGGAAGCAAAGUAAUAUUUGUAUCCUUAUGAACAAGAGUAUACAGAUUGUUUCUACCAUGGUGUACAGAAUUUUUAUCAAAUUGCCAUGGUCUACCAAGUAAUAAGGAACAUGCUUGCAUAGGUACCACAUCACAAUCAACAUAAUCAGCAUAUGUAGAGAUACUAAAAUGCACCCGAACAGUACGUGUUACCUUAACCUUGCCGUUAUUGUUGAACCAUUGGAUGUAGUAAGGAUGUGGAUGUGGUCUUGUGGUGAGAGAUAGCUUCUCCACCAUCUCCAUGCUAGCCAAGUUGUUGCAACUCCCUCCAUCUAUGAUGACGCGAAUAGAACGUUCCUUCACAACUCCCUUUGUAUGGAACAAAUUAUGCCUCUGAUUUUGCUCAGCUUGUGUAACCUACACACUCAAAACACGUUGAGCAACUAAACAUUCAUAUCUGUUAGCAUCUUCGGCAGCCAAUAAUUGCGUCUCAUGAUCAGAAUCAUCUCCACCGUGUUCUUCAUGUGUAAUAAGAGCCAAAGUCUCCUCAUCAUAGUCACUAGCGAACUCAUACCCACCAUCCUCUGUAGCAAUCAUCACAUGUGAGAUUUGCAUUCUCUCGCAAAAUGUCCUCUUCCCUUACAACGACGACAAAUAAUAUCACUUGUGUGCCCUGUUGACGCCAUGGAAGAAGAAGAGCUCUGUGCAGGCCCAGUAGGUGUGCUCUUGGCAGAUAGUGGUGGUUGUGCCUGCUUUCUUGUAUCACGGUUGGAGGUGGCACCUGAAGGAGGUGAUGGUGCAGUGGAAGUAGAUGAUGCACGUGGUGUCCAUGAUGAAGGUCGACCUGCAGAAAAGUUAGUUCGCGCAAUGCCUGUCGAUCCUGCACUUCACGUUCAGCUUUACAAGCAAGAUGGAAUAAACGAGUGAUAUUAUUAUAAUCCUUAUACUCUAGAAUGGUCUGAAUCUCUCUAUUUAAUCCACCCAUAAAACAUGCAAGCAUAGCUUCAUUCUCCUCAACAAUACCACAUCCAAUCAAGCCAGUUUGUAAUUCCUAAUAAUAUUCUUCUACAGAAUUUUUUCCUUGUCUUAAGCGCUGCAAUUUUUGAAGUAAUUCACGUUGAUAAUAUGGUGGAACCCAACGAGUACGCAUAGCAGUUUUCAAAGCAGCACAAGUAGCUGGAACGGGAUAUAAUCUACAAUGUUCAGAGCACCAAACACAUGCAAAGCUAGUGAAAGCACAAACAGCAGCAGAAACACGUCUCUCCUCAGGAUAUUGUAAACAUGUACCUCCCAAGUAAGAUAUAUAUCAGGAACAUCUACCCUCAAAUGGUGGAGUAUUCAAUUUCAGUUUAGGGAGAUGGUCAUGAUCUCGUACCUGAGGGGGAGCCCUAACAUUGCCAUUAUUUGCUUGUGGACGACCUGGUGGUUGUGGUGCUGGUGGUUGCACGUAGUUCUGAUUUUGAUCAACCUCAUCCUCGUAAUCUCCCGCCUAAGCAUCCUCCUCCACAUCAGCAGCAGGAGCCACAGAAGUAUCAACAGCAGCAGGAGCCACAGAAGUAUCAACUCGCUCGGCAGAGGGCUGUUUCCCGACGUGGAGGUAGUCGUUGUUUUUGUUGUUGUUGUUGCAGAGGUGCGGCGGGUGCAGCCGGUGGUGGAAGACAUGCAAGCAGUUCAUUAAAUCUGUCAUCGAGCUUUGUUUCGAACGUCUUCUCAAGGCCAGUGAUCUUCUCCAUGGCCUCUUCAAAAUUGUUCAGCACAUCUUGCACCUGUUCAGUCAUCAUUUGCUGAAACUUAUCAUGAAGCUCCUUGUUCGUUAAGUUCUCCCAGUCAAUCUCGUCGGCUUGUGAUCCUGGCAUGGUUAGCAGCAAUAGAAACACACAAGAAUAUGAUCCUAUAGACUACUAACAAGUGGUGGUGGUGGGUGUCACAAAUCCGUCAAGAAAAUCUCAAAUUCUUACCAGUUCUUACCCAGCAGCAGGCGGUGAUCGGCAACCGAUGUAGUCAAAACUCUCAAAGCUUGGAUAGAGCGUUUACCAGGGAGAGUCAAACGCACGAUGUAGAUGUAUGUGGAGCUGGAAAGGCUUAUAAUAUGGUAGCAAAAAGGGUCAGCAAUAAUCAAUUCAGAGAUGCAAAGUUGAAUAAACGCUCAACGACGGUACUGUGCUGGUCCUAGGCUAAACCGUACUAGAGACGCGAGCCUAGAACACUAACAAAAUCACGGCGCUGCACGUAAACAAGGGAGGAGCACACUCUGAAAUUUUUUCUUUUUUCACUUUUUUUGCACUUUUUUUCCUUUUUUUUGCUCCGCAACAAUUUUUUUCAAAGAAGUCUACAAAUGUCCUAAAAACUGCCUAGCCAGAAUUUUCCAGACUACAAAUGUCCUACAAAUUUUUAUUUUUUUGAAACUGGAACUAUUUUUCUUCUGCGGAUGGCUCGGAAGUUGGGCAGUCCUAUUCUGUCACGACUCGGAGUAUCGCGUGAUCUGGAAAUCGAGAACAAAGCAAUAAUUACUGGACUCGGACUGGUGGCGGAGAUGAAUCUGGUGGAAACUCGGACUGGUGGCGGAUAUUUGCAGGGCGAUGGAACACGGACUGGUGGCGAAUAUGUGAUGGAGGUGGACUCGAAUUAGCGUGAUGGCGGUGGAUAGUGGUAUAUGGUAGCGGCGAUGACGAUGGUGGUAUAUGGCAGCGGUGAUGACGAUGGUGGUAUAUGGCAGCGGUGAUGAUGAUGGUGGUAUAUGGCAACGGUGAUGACAACGGUGGUAUAUGGCAGCGGUGAUGACGAUGGUGCAGCGGCGGCGUGACAACUUGUGAACAGAACUCAAAACUCUAAAGUACUAGACGCUAGGACCAGCAACUUGACACGACGACGCAACCGCAAAUUCAACAAAGCAAAUACAGAAAAGAUUGUGCAAAGGCUCAGAUUGGUUCGGAUAAGAUAAACUAACCCUAAUAUUUUUUUUGGCUUUUUCGUGGACUAUAGGUAUGAAGAACAGACUCAAUCUAAACUAUGAAAAACUGUAAAAUCUCACCGAGCAACCUGGAAAUCUGAUACCACUUGCUAGAGGCAAAGGUGUCCCACUGUUUCGAUGAGAUAGCAAUCGUUUUCUGUGGGAGUCGACUUUGACGAUCCGACUAUGAACGUGCGAAGACGUCGCGCCUUAGCAAUCGCUAAACCAACUUCUGUGGGGUUAUUGACCACGCCGGAGCACGAUCAACCUGACCACGAGGGUCUAUUUCCUGCGAGCAAACAAAGAACAAGCAAGAAACUGAGAUUGCAAUCUAGAUAUUGCGAAUAAAAGAGGAAAGCUUUAUUAAUGAAGGUGGGGUUCUGUGACGCCUUUGUCUGGUCGUUGAACACAAAUGAAGUACGCGAAGUUGCAGCUAUGGCAAACUUUCAAUCUAAACAAAACCCAAAGUCUAAACGAUGCCCUAGGGGUUGUAUAUAUGGAGGAAGAGGGGGGGGGGUAUUUCGUGGCCCUUGGAGGAGGGGUCCAAAACCCACCCUAACUCUUGUUUCCCCACACAUACGGACUCUAAAAACAGCCUAUAUUGAAGUAUUUCGAAAUUACAUGGGCCUGGCCCAAAAAUAAGGUGACGCAGCACCUAGAAUAGCCUCUGGACGAAAAUUAUGAAGUGGCAUCUUGUAUAUUUCGUCCAAGGCUUCAUGCACUCAUUAUGGUGGCUUCAAAGUCCUGAAAUCAUCACUUGAAACUAUGUUCUUGUCUCCCUUGCGCAUGCCAUCAACUCCAUGCUUGUUCUUGCUCCAAUGUUCAUCCUUCUCCAAGCUAGGCCCUUCAUUUGUAAGCAAAACAAAUGUAUCCAAUUUAGGCAGCAUCUUAUUCUCAUGAACAUUAGAAUCAUUACCAAGAAACGAAAGUACCUGGUAAUUUAAUUGGCGUGCGCGAGCUCUAGUAAUCGGUCCAGUAUGUAUAGUAGCAGGGGUUGUGGGUGUAACAAUGGUAUUGAUGUCCUCAUCACGGCGCCUGCACGUCGCAAAUAUGGCCCAGGGCGAUAUUGGCCCUGUUCCGGAGAUCCUGAAGCAUAGGGGCAUGCUCGUGCUCCAGCGUUCGUCGUUGGAGCACUUCCUCCGUGUUUUGCCAUGCGACGGCCUCAGCGUCAUCAGCCCGCCUCCGAAGGGAACGCAGCUCGGCGCGGGCGGAGGCCAAGUCCGCCUGCGCCGCAACCAGGGCGGCGGCCGUGGCUUCCGCGCGCCUCUCAGCCUCAUCCAACCUGGGCCUGAGGGCAGCGGCCCUGCCCGCAUCCUCCGUACCCGCGAGCUUCAGCUUCAGGUCGUACCUACCCUCGAGGUCUGCGUGAACCUCGGCCACUCGGCGAUUGACCUCCUCCUCAACUCUAGCCUCACGAGCCCCGACGGCAUCUUCUGCUUGAGCAACUUGACACUCCCUCGUCUCUAGUUGCUCGAGCUCGAGGCUGUGCUCCACGGCUUCCAGGGCCAGCGCCUCGCCGCGCUUCCGGACCUCCUCUUCCUCCACGGGCGUCCCCCUCAGCGAUGCAAGAGCGGCCCUGCGCGCCUCCACCUGCUGCUCAAGGGACGCGCUCCAGGCCUGGAGCUCCCACGCGCGCUUCUCCGCAGCCUCGCGACGACGGUCAGCCUCGCGAGCCUCUUCCAAGGGUCGCGAGCGGGCUUCAUGGGCGAUCUUGAGGGACGCCUCGGCCUUCGCAUUCUCAAGGUCGCGCUGAUAGCGACCGAGGUUGAUGGCCACCUUCAGCUUGCGCCGCUCCUCCACCAGCCGGAGACCUUCAGCCUCAAGGCGCGAGUCAACACCAACAAGCUCUUCACCCAAUCGACUCAUCGCGCCCAUCGCCUCCUGGAAGAGCUCGUGACGAACUAUAGUUCGCCCGCGCUCGAGCUCGAACGCUCGGCCCACCUCGUCCUCCACCUCCGGGGUAGCGGGCAGGGCGCCAAGUGGCGCGCCACCUCCCGGCAGGGGGCUGGGAGCUGACACCGCACCUGACGUCAGCCAGUCCUCGCGAGAAGCCCGAGCCGAUCGGGGCACGCUGCAUGAAGAGGAGCCGAAGAUCGAAGCCAACCAGCUGCUGUUCAUGAGCAAAGGAGGGGUCUUGGGCACGCCCGCCAGGCUCCAUGCCAGACCGUGGGGGAGGACUGGCCAAGCCGCGGGCUCAGCGCGCCACGAAGGCGGAGAUGCUCCCCCAACCGACCCUGCUCCAGGGGCGGUAAGCAGACAAGGAACGCUCAAGGCCGAUGGGGGAGUCGAGGUAGGAGGAGGCCGUUUCUCAGGAGGCGCAGCCGCCUCGACGGAAGGAGCCCUGAAGAACUGACGUCAGGAGAUGGAAAACAUCACACAAGGAGCCACAGCGAUACAAUGCUUACACGUCAACGGCGAUGUACUUCCUCCGCUUCAGCGGUCCAAAGAUGUUGUUGCCGCACGGGGAUCCUCUCCUCUUGCGGAGCUCCGCGAAAUCAACGCAGAGCCGGCCGUAUCGCUGGACGUGGCGGCCUGCACGGGGCGAAGAGCUUGGAGAGACAACGUCAGGGGUGCCCGGAUGCGGCAAACAGCCGGGCACCGCCUCACCACCAACUCCCCAGGCUUCUGGGGCCUUAGCCUCUGGAGCCGCACGCUGCGUCUCCUCAGCAACCGGCGUUUCAAGAGGGGUGGUCGCAAGCUCCCGAGGAUGACGCCCCAGGAUCACCACUCAGCAUGUGCUCCUCAGCACUUGGGCCACCAACCUCCGUCAGAGCUCCCCCUCCUGCAUCCCCACUUGGGGUGAACUUGGACCCAGCGGUAAGGAAGGGAACCACGACGAUGGGGUUCUCGCGAGGCCCCACCAGACCGAUCAGCCGCAGCCCCCAUUCAUCAAAGGAAGGCAUGCUCGCUGCAAACUCGUCCUUGUUCUUGCAGCGAUACAGCAGGCACUUCUUCCCAGGCAUUUCGGCCGGCAAAGGGACACCCGUCAAGACCUUGAGCACUGUCUGCCGCGUCCCGAGAGGGAGCCCAGACUCCUGGAACCUCAUGUGGUCCUGACUGUUGAGCAAGGUCCACAUCGGGCGAGAGUGGCGCUGAAGCGGAGCAACCCGGCGCUUGACGAACUCCUUCACCACCAUAGGCGCGGUCAGGCCGCGGUCCUUCAGCAGCCUCAGCCUGGUCCAGACAAGAGCAAGGCGAGGGCUCGAGAGCCUCUGGUGGCCCCAGCCGGAGUUUGGAACAGCAGGCCCCGUCGGUAGACGAAGCAGGGGGCUGAGCAUGGCGGCAUCAACAAACACCCAUUGCGUACGAAACUCGCUCGUGGAUGAAGGGAGCUCGAAGCCAAUCCCUGCGCCCGCAGUCGCGGCCACGGCCUGGAAGCUCACGCACCCCGAGCUCUGCCGGGAAUCGAUCAGAUGCAAUGAAAAGAAAUGGCGAAGUAGGGCCAUGGAAGGAGUGAUGCCCACCAUGGCCUCGCACAAGAAGGCGAAGACGGCAAGAAAGGUCACAGAUUGAGGGUCAAGAUGAAGCAUGUGGAUCUGGUAAUGCUCGAGCACCGCGUUGAAGAAGGCGGAGAAGGGAGGAAUCAAGCCAGCCCAGAGGGCAUCAAUGAAGAUCGGGACCUCAGUGGCUGCCCGAUCUAUGCGAGUGCGGGACGCGGGCCAAGCCACCGUCUCUCCCCACUCGUUGAAUCUGGAGGCAAGCAUGGGGAGCACCUCGUCCAUGGCCUCGUCGUUGAGCACCCGAGGCCGGCUGAGCGCCGGCUCAAAAGACGGAUGCGCAGUUGACAACGACAGGGGUUUCUUCCCCUUUUCAGCUUGUUUCGGCGCCAUGGCGAUGAAGCAGGCGGAGCGCAAGCCGGAUUGGCAGGGCAGAGCAGGGCCUCGAGGAAGCAGGGAGAUUGGAAGAGCCAGGCGUGGGCGAAGGAAGAAUAACUGUGUAGGCCGGGGGGCGCAUAGCUAGGCGGAUUCAAAGGCAGCAUGGGGAAGCGGAGACGCCCACGUCCAAUCAACCACCACAUGUCAACCGAGGCCGCAUGGUUUUGGGGCGUGCGGUGCUCUGAACUUGACCCUUGGCUUCGCCGCGAAGCCAAACCCGAGCGCACCUUGGGCCCAGGGGCUACUGUCGGCGUCCUGGGAACGGGGGUCCCCAGACUUGCCUGCCUGCGGCCCACGGCGUGGCUAAGCCAGUAGGCCGUACGGCCCAUCUUCAUCAACAAGGCAUCCAAGACCCUCGCGAGGGGCCAAGCCUCGCGAGACGGACGACGCAAGACCUCCUCAAGAGUGGCCUAGUCAGGCAGUCUCACGAGGAGCGGAGAUAUCAAGGCGGGGCAAACCUCAUGAGGCUCUCGUGACAUGAGCCAUGACGAUCGACACCAGGUGGGCGCCAUUCGGGCGCCAGCGCGCGCAGCGUCCUUGUUUCCUCUUUGGUGCUAGGGAGGCCAGCGUAGGCGAGGAGUACCGAGGCAUCAUGCAAAGGUUGCUAUAUCAGUGCAACGAGACCAAGACCAUGAGGACGGCAAGACGGAGGUCAUCGUGGAGCCCAAGACGGCGUCACCACCAGAGCCUUUUGCAGGCGAAGACCGCUUUUGUCAGGAUAGCUUGUACUAGAUGUCCCCCUUCAAAUUUGCCCGCCGUUGUUGGCUCCCUUCCCUCUCGAUAUUCGGGAAGAGGACCAGGGCCUUUAUAAGUAGAACUAGCCACCACAAUGGGGGGAGAGAGCAGUUCAUCCAGCUCUCACCCGCUAAGCCACUAAGCACAAGAACACCUCAACCUCAGGAGGCUGUUCUUCCCUCUGUACUGUUCAUCAUCAGCCCAAGAGGCAAUCCACCACCACCACACUGGAGUAGGGUAUUACACCACAAUGGUGGCCCGAACCAGUAUAAAUCCCGUGUCUCUUUGUGUUGCAAGUUCGUCGAGUUCGUCCGCGAGAGCUUAGCGAGCUAGGGCGUAGAUCGGUAGGAGGGAAAGACUUCGCGCGCACCCCAGUGUUCAAACCUUAAGGGCUUGCCAGAACCCCACAUCCGACAUCGAAGGUUCAGUUUUGAUUGACUUUUAAUGUGUUUCAAAGAUUCAUGAUCAGAAUGUAUAACAAAUUCUUUGGGCCAUAAAUAAUGUUGCCAUGUUUAUAAGGUCCGGACAAGAGCAUAUAAUUCUUUAUCAUAAGUAGAAUAGUUCAGACUAGGCCCACUCAAUUUUUCAGAAAAGUAUGCAACAGGUUUGCCAUCUUGUAAUAACACACCUCCUAAUCCAAUUCCACUAGCAUCACAUUCAAGCUCAAAAGUCUUAUAAAAAUCAGGAAGUUGGAGUAAAGGACCAUGUGUCAACUUAUCUUUCAAUACCGUGAAGGCUUCUUCCAGUGCGGUACCCCAAACAAAAGGCACAUCCUUCUUUGUAAGCUCAUUGAGAGGUGCAGCAUUGGUGCUAAAAUCUCUCACAAAACUCCUAUAGAAUCCAGCGAGUCCAAGGAAACUCCUCACUUGUGUGACCGUUUUGGGCUGCGGACAACUCUCAAUAGCUUCAAUCUUGGCUUUAUCAACUUCAAUUCCCUAUGGAGUAACAACAUAGCCAAGAAAAGAUACCCGGUCGAUGCAAAAGUUGCACUUCCCAAGGUUACCAAACAAACGUGCAACACGUAGAGCAAUAAAAACAACACGUAAAUGUUCCAAAUGUUCUUCCAAAGAUUUGCUAUAAAUUAGUAUAUCAUCAAAAUAGACUACCACAAAUCGUCCAAUGAAAGCACGUAAAACUUCGUUCAUUAGUCUCAUGAAAGUACUAGGUGCAUUAGUUAACCCAAAAGGCAUGACUAACCACUCAUAUAAACCAAACUUAGUUUUAAAUGUUGUUUUCCAUUCAUCUCCCAAUUUCAUACGAAUUUGAUGGUAUCCACUACGCAAAUCAACUUUGUAGAAUAUUGUAGAGCCACUCAAUUCAUCAAGCAUAUAGUCUAGCCUAGGAAUAGGAUGACGAUAACGAAUAGUAAUAUUAUUAAUGCCUCUACAAUCAACACACAUACGUGACGUACCAUCCUUUUUAGGCACUAGUAUAAUAGGAACAGCACAAGGACUAAGACAUUCGUGUAUAUAACCUUUGUCGACCAGCUCAUGUACUUGACGCAUAAUAUCCUUCGUCUCCUCUGGAUUGGUAUGGUAUGGUGUACUGUUGGGUAGCGAUGAACCAGGAAUUAAGUCAAUUUGAUGCUCAAUCCCUCGAAUAGGUGGUAAUCCUGGUGGCACGUCUUGUGGAAAGAUGUCAGCGAACUCCUGCAAACUGUUAGUGAUAGAAGGGGGCAAAGAGGAAGGCACGUCCUCGAAUGAAAAUAAUGCCUCUUUGCACACGAAAGCAUAGCAAAAAGAUUUGCUGAAAACUAGCUCAUCAAUAUCAGAUUUUGUGGCAAGUAAACAUGCACUUUUCAAUUUAAUUUCAGAAGCAACACUAGAUGGUUUAUUAUUAGGUUUCAUUUUUUGCUCAUAUUCUUUUGCCAGAAUCUGAUUUUCACUCUUAUUUUUCUCCUAUUUUGCUUUAUUAGCUCUAUUAAUAUCAUCUUUCAAAAUGGAAUCAGGAGUCACGGGAAGCAAAGUAAUAUUUUUAUCCUUAUGAACAAGAGUAUACUGAUUGUUUCUACCAUGGUGUACAGAAUUUUUAUCAAAUUUCCAUGGUCUACCUAGUAAUAAGGAACAUGAUUGCAUAGGUACCAUAUCACAAUCAACAUAAUCAGCAUAUGUAGAGAUACUAAAAUGCACACGAACAGUACGUGUUACCUUAACCUUGCCGCUGUUGUUGAACCAUUGGAUGUAGUAAGGAUGUGGAUGUGGUCUUGUGGUGAGAGAUAGCUUCUCCACCAUCUCCAUGCUAGCCAAGUUGUUGCAGCUCCCUCUAUCUAUGAUGACGCGAACAGAACGUUCCUUCACAACUCCCUUUGUAUGGAACAAAUUAUGCCUCUGAUUUUGCUCAUCUUGUGUCAACUGCACACUCAAAACACGUUGAGCAACUAAACAUUCAUACCUGUCGGCAUCUUCAGGAGCCAUGUAUUGUGUCUCAUGAUCAGAAUCAUCUCCACCGUGUUCUUCACGUGUCAUAAGAGCCAAAGUCUCCUCAUCACAGUCACUAGCGGACUCAUACCCACCAUCCUCAGUAGCAAUCAUCACACGCUGAGACUUGCAUUCUCUCGCAUAAUGACCUCUUCCCUUACAACGACGACAAAUAAUAUCACUUGUGUGCCCUGUUGAUGCCAUGGAAGAAGAAGAGCUCUGUGCAGGCCCGGCAGGUGUGCUGUUGGUAGAUAGUGGUGGUUGUGCCUGCUUUCUUGUAUCACGGUUGGAGGUGGCACCUGAUGGAGGUGAUGGUGCAGGGGAAGUAGAGGAGGCACGUGGUGUCCAUGAUGAAGGUCGACCUGCAGAAAAGUUAGUUCGCGCCAAUGCCUGUCGAUCCUGCACUUCACGUUCACCUUUACAAGCAAGAUGGAAUAAACGAGUGAUAUUAUUAUACUCCUCAUACUCUAGAAUGGUCUGAAUCUCUCUAUUUAAUCCACCCAUAAAACGUGCAAGCAUAGCUUCAUUAUCCACAACAAUACCACAUCUAAUCAUGCCAGUUUGUAAUUCCUGAUAAUAUUCCUCUACAGAAUUUUUUCCUUGUCUUAAACCCUGCAAUUUUUGAAGUAAUUCACGUUGAUAAUAUGGUGGAACCCAACGAGUACACAUAGCAGUUUUCAAAGCAAGCCAAGUAGUUGGAAUAUUAUUCGGAUAUAAUCUACGAUGUUCAGGCCACCACACACAAGCAAAACUAGUGAAAGCACAAAGUGCAGCAGCAACACGUCUCUCCCCGGGAUAUUCUAAACAUGUAAAACGUUGUUCGGUUUCUAAAUCCCAAGUAAGAUAUAUAUCAGGAACAUAUCUACCCUCAAAUGGUGGACUAUUCAAUUUCAGUUUAGGAAGAUGGUCAUGAUCUCGUACCUGAGCUGGUAAUGCAGCCCUACCAUUGCGAUUAUUUGCAUCUGGACGGCCUAGUGCUGGUGGUUGCACGUAGUUCUGAUUUUGAUCAACCUCAUCCUCGUAAUCUCCCACAUAAUCCUCCUCCUCCUCAUCAGUAGUAGGAGCCACAGAAGUAUCAACAGCAGCACCAACAGUUUGGCCAGACUCAAGAGGGAUACGGCUUGCUCGGCGGAGGGCUGUUUCACGACGUGGAGGUUGUUGUUGUUGUUAUUGUUGUUGUUGUUGUUGUUGUUGUUGUUGUUGUUGUUGUUGUUGUUGUUGUUGUUGUUGUUGUUGUUGUUGUUGUUGUUGUUGUUGUUGUUGUUGUUGCAGAGGUGCGGCAGGUGCAGCCGGUGGUGGUUGUGGAAGACGCUCAAGCAGUUCAUUAAAUCUGUUAUCAAGCUUUGUUUCGAACGUCUUCUCCAGGCCAGUUAUCUUAUCCAUGGCCUCCUCAAAAUUGUUCAGCACAUCUUGCACCUGUUCAGUCAUCAUUUGCUGAAAUUUAUCAUGCAACUCCUUAUUCGUCAUGUUCUCCCAGUCAGUCUCAUCGACUUGUGAACCUUCCAUGGUUAGCAGCAAUAGAUCCUAUAGACUACUAGAAAAUGGUGGUGGUGGGUGUCACAAAUCCGUCAAACAAAUCUCAAAUUCUUACCAGUUCUUACCCAGCAGCAGGCGGUGAUCGGCAACCGUUGUAGUCAAAACUCUCAAAGCUUGGAUAGAGGAAUUACCAGGGAGAGUCAAUGCACAACGUAGAUGUAUGUGGAGCUAGGAAGGCUUAUAAUAUGGUAGCAAAAAGGGUCAGCAAUAAUCAAUUCAGAGAUGCAAAGUUGAAUAAACGCUCAAUGGUUGUACUAUGCUGGUCCUAGGCUAGACCGUGCUAGAGACGUGAGCCUAGAACACUAAGAAAAUCACGGCGCUGCACGAAAACAAGGGAAAAGCACACUCUGGAGAAAAAAUCGCUCUGUUUUUUUGCGAAAAAUCACUAUAAUGGCGAGUGUCUCAAAACUCUUCCCAAGUCAAAAUGACAGGAUGGGCACGAAAUUUUUUUGACUAUUUUUUUCGGAAAUCAGGGCAGCGACGAUGAAAAAGUGCGACAAAAAAUCACUAUGAUGGCACGUGGCUCAAAAGACUCAGGAAAGCCUAAAAAUAGGAUAGGGAAAAAAUAUUUUCGGUCACCGAAAUUUUGGCCUAAAACUGCACGGGGGUCUCCAGACUUUUCCGAGACCUACUCAGGCAAGGAAACACGAAUCGGAAAUUAUAUGGAUCUCGAAAACAAACCUAAUAUGAAAGGAACUCGGAUUGGUGGUGGAUAUAUAGUGGUAGGAUAUGGCAGCGGUGGUGGUAUAUGGCAACGUUGGUGGGAUAUGUCAGCGGUGGUGGUAUAUGGUAGCGGUGGUAUGAUAUGGCAGCGGUGGUGGUAUAUGGCACCGGUGGUGGGAUAUGGCAGCG
rnacentral:lncRNA from 1 species